rfam:Burkholderia calidae type strain LMG 29321 genome assembly, contig: contig000001
AGUUCUGUUGCACCCAGAUUUUUUGAGGUGGAGAACGAGGAGACAUGAGGCACGAAGUGCCCGACCGAAAAGCGCUGUUGGAUGAGUCCAACAGCGCUUUUUU